ACAUACGACCAUCGGGUGUGGAAAACAGGGCUUCCCGUCCGCUCAGCCGUACUUAAGCCACACGCCGGUUGGUUAGUAGUUGGGUGGGUGACCACCAGCGAAUCCCUACUGUUGUAUGUU
rfam:Penicillium marneffei ATCC 18224 scf_1105668340764 genomic scaffold, whole genome shotgun sequence.